CCUACGGGUGGCAGCAGUGAGGAAUAUUGGUCAAUGGGCGCGAGCCUGAACCAGCCAAGUAGCGUGAAGGAUGACGGCCCUACGGGUUGUAAACUUCUUUUAUAAAGGAAUAAAGUGAGGCACGUGUGCCUUUUUGUAUGUACUGUAUGAAUAAGGAUCGGAUAACUCCGUGCCAGCAGCCGCGGUAAUACGGAGGAUCCGAGCGUUAUGCGGAUUUAUUGGGGUUAAAGGGAGCGUAGAUGGGUUGUUAAGUCCGUUGUGAAAGUUUGCGGCUCAACCGUAAAAUUGCCAUUGAUACUGGCAGCCUUGAGUACCGUUGAGGUAGGCGGCAUUC
rnacentral:rRNA from 1 species